UUUUUAGAAAACCUCACUACACAGCAUUGUGUAAAGCUGAUUUAACAUGUGACUUAGUCUUGAUUUUAUUCACCUUAAUAUAGUAUCUACUUUCAUCUGACUUUUGAUCAUAGUUUUUCUUUUAUAAAGAAGGAGACAUUAUAAACAUUAAAUCCUGUGAUUUCUUCAGUGUGCUAUUUUUAGUUUCAUAAUAAACGUUUUCAGACUGCUUCUGUUUUCCUGACAUUUUAAGUGCCUAAAUUCUUUUUGUUUAAAACUGUAACUUCUAUUUUUACUGAAAUAUGUUUACUUUUGUUUCACGUUUCCCAUUUUGAGGAAUAAAGAAUUGUCAGAUGAUUCAGCGGGUUUAACUGAUCUGCUAAUUUUUAUUUGGAGCUGAAGAUACCAAAAUAACCAAUGUUUUGGAUAAACUGGCUAACUAUAGUUAUCUACUUGUUUGUGAAGGUA
rnacentral:lncRNA from 1 species